rnacentral:rRNA from 1 species
GCUAAUACAUGCAAGUCGAACGCGUUGGCCCAAUUGAUUGAUGGUGCUUGCACCUGAUUGAUUUUGGUCGCCAACGAGUGGCGGACGGGUGAGUAACACGUAGGUAACCUGCCCAGAAGCGGGGGACAACAUUUGGAAACAGAUGCUAAUACCGCAUAACAGCGUUGUUCGCAUGAACAACGCUUAAAAGAUGGCUUCUCGCUAUCACUUCUGGAUGGACCUGCGGUGCAUUAGCUUGUUGGUGGGGUAAUGGCCUACCAAGGCGAUGAUGCAUAGCCGAGUUGAGAGACUGAUCGGCCACAAUGGGACUGAGACACGGCCCAUACUCCUACGGGAGGCAGCAGUAGGGAAUCUUCCACAAUGGGCGCAAGCCUGAUGGAGCAACACCGCGUGAGUGAAGAAGGGUUUCGGCUCGUAAAGCUCUGUUGUUAAAGAAGAACACGUAUGAGAGUAACUGUUCAUACGUUGACGGUAUUUAACCAGAAAGUCACGGCUAACUACGUGCCAGCAGCCGCGGUAAUACGUAGGUGGCAAGCGUUAUCCGGAUUUAUUGGGCGUAAAGAGAGUGCAGGCGGUUUUCUAAGUCUGAUGUGAAAGCCUUCGGCUUAACCGGAGAAGUGCAUCGGAAACUGGAUAACUUGAGUGCAGAAGAGGGUAGUGGAACUCCAUGUGUAGCGGUGGAAUGCGUAGAUAUAUGGAAGAACACCAGUGGCGAAGGCGGCUACCUGGUCUGCAACUGACGCUGAGACUCGAAAGCAUGGGUAGCGAACAGGAUUAGAUACCCUGGUAGUCCAUGCCGUAAACGAUGAGUGCUAGGUGUUGGAGGGUUUCCGCCCUUCAGUGCCGGAGCUAACGCAUUAAGCACUCCGCCUGGGGAGUACGACCGCAAGGUUGAAACUCAAAGGAAUUGACGGGGGCCCGCACAAGCGGUGGAGCAUGUGGUUUAAUUCGAAGCUACGCGAAGAACCUUACCAGGUCUUGACAUCUUGCGCCAACCCUAGAGAUAGGGCGUUUCCUUCGGGAACGCAAUGACAGGUGGUGCAUGGUCGUCGUCAGCUCGUGUCGUGAGAUGUUGGGUUAAGUCCCGCAACGAGCGCAACCCUUGUUACUAGUUGCCAGCAUUAAGUUGGGCACUCUAGUGAGACUGCCGGUGACAAACCGGAGGAAGGUGGGGACGACGUCAGAUCAUCAUGCCCCUUAUGACCUGGGCUACACACGUGCUACAAUGGACGGUACAACGAGUCGCGAACUCGCGAGGGCAAGCAAAUCUCUUAAAACCGUUCUCAGUUCGGACUGCAGGCUGCAACUCGCCUGCACGAAGUCGGAAUCGCUAGUAAUCGCGGAUCAGCAUGCCGCGGUGAAUACGUUCCCGGGCCUUGUACACACCGCCCGUCACACCAUGAGAGUUUGUAACACCCAAAGUCGGUGGGGUAACCUUUUAGGAGCCAGCCGCCUAAG